rnacentral:rRNA from 1 species
UACGUAGGGACCAAGCGUUGUUCGGAUUUACUGGGCGUAAAGGGCGCGUAGGUGGCGCGGGAAGUCAACGGUGAAAGUUCGGGGCUCAACCCUGAAUCGGCCGUCGAUACUCCCGGGCUCGAGCACUGUAGAGGCAGAUGGAAUUCCGGGUGUAGCGGUGGAAUGCGUAGAGAUCCGGAAGAACACCGGUGGCGAAGGCGGUCUGCUGGGCAGUUGCUGACACUGAGGCGCGGACAGCGUGGGGAGCAAACCAGG